UCUGCCUUGUAGUGGGGGAUAACUUGCCGAAAGGUAAGCUAAUACCGCAUACGCCCUAAGGGGGAAAGCAGGGGACUCUUCGGAGCCUUGCGCUAUUAGAUGAGCCUAGGUCGGAUUAGUUAGUUGGUGGGGUAAUGGCUCACCAAGACCGCGAUCCGUAACUGGUCUGAGAGGAUGAUCAGUCACACUGGAACUGAGACACGGUCCAGACUCCUACGGGAGGCAGCAGUGGGGAAUAUUGGACAAUGGGGGGAACCCUGAUCCAGCCAUGCCGCGUGUGUGAAGAAGGCCUUCGGGUUGUAAAGCACUUUAAUUUGGGAGGAAGGGCUUACGGUUAAUAACCGCCAAGUUUUGACGUUACCAAAAGAAUAAGCACCGGCUAACUUCGUGCCAGCAGCCGCGGUAAUACGAAGGGUGCGAGCGUUAAUCGGAAUUACUGGGCGUAAAGCGCGCGUAGGUGGUUCAUUAAGUUAGGAGUGAAAGCCCCGGGCUCAACCUGGGAAUUGCUUCUAAAACUGGUGAGCUAAAGUACGGUAGAGGGUGGUGGAAUUUCCUGUGUAGCGGUGAAAUGCGUAGAUAUAGGAAGGAACAUCAGUGGCGAAGGCGACCAACUGGACUGAUACUGACACUGAGGUGCGAAAGCGUGGGGAGCAAACAGGAUUAAAUACCCUGGUAGUCCCACGCCGUAACGAUGUCAACUA
rnacentral:rRNA from 1 species